rnacentral:tRNA from 1 species
UUGGGCGUGGUGGAAUGGUAGACACGCCUGGUUGUGGCCCAGGUGUCGUAAGACAUGAGGGUUCAAGUCCCUCCGUUCAACCCA